CAGAGUUCUCCUAACGAGGGAGCGAGCUAUCUCUCCCUGACAGCAGACAACGGCGUUUCAGCCAUGUCCUAUUAGUGCUCUCCGUACCGCCGGACGCGAGGCCGAGCCGGCCGGCUCGGCGGUCGCUCACAUUUCUGGGAGGCCGGCGGGGAACCUCAGAGAUGAUCAUUUAAACUGAUUUACUUCUGGCUUUAUGACCGCAGGGAGCGGCUGAAACAACGAGAAAAUCCCCUACCCCCGGCUAACCCGAAUAUUUUAUUGACUGCAAAUAAACUCCGUGGCAGGUGCCGGCAGGGAGAUAAUAUUAUAAUCAAGUAUUCGGAGAAGGUUAGGUUGGCCCUAUUCUCUCUAUAUUGAAUAAUCUCUCAAUUUGCCGACUCAUUUCCGGAAAACAAGACACGCGUAUUUCUGAGAGGGGACGCGGACAAGCCUCGGAACGCCGCGGGACUUGGCGAAAUCGCCGAAGACGACGAUAGCGUUCUCUCGGGAUGAAGAAUCGAAUCGCUUGCUGGCUAGUUGAGGCUCGAGGCGAAGAGAUUUCACCGUUGACGGACCAGCAGCAGAGACCGUGGGGCCAGUGGGAGCCGAUCACGGUGUCGCAUUUGAAAAGCGCGGAGUAAAUAAGUCCGUGACUGUGAAUGUUCAGCUUUUCCCUCUGCCGCCUGGUUGUAGCAAACCUCACCGGCUGUCUUGGGAAAAAUGGUCCGUCUCAAACGGUCUUUCCUGG